GGAUGAGGAAAGAAGGGGUGAGCAAGGAAAGGAUGAGGCACAGAGAUGGGGUGGGGUGGAAUGAGGAAGGGGGAGGGGAGGAAGGAGGGAUGGACUGGUGUGACAGAGAUGGGUGAGGUGGGGUGAGGGGCCCUGCACCCCUGCUGGCUCCUCAGAUCCGGGGGCUCUCACUCUCCCACCUCCAGACUUGUGGGGCCCAGGCUGUGGGUGGCUCUACUUCUUCCUAUUCCAGUUCUGUCUUUUUUGCCUCCCCCAGCCUUGCCUGUGCCAACACGGAGGCAGAGAGUUUAGUCACCAGCCUUUACCUGGCCCCUGCUAAUGCUAAAGUGUAGGCUUGGACCUUUGAGGGUGUGGGACUAUGCCUUCAAGUGUUGAUGGCAUGGACUCCAUUGUCUGCCUAGUCCAAGGUUUCUGCCCUUUGUCCCAUUGUCCUGGGCCUCAGGUGUUUGUGGUGCUCAGUGUCACAUGGACCAUGACAGUGUGUGGUGCUCAGUGUGGUGUGGACUGAGACAGUGUGGUUCUGGAGUCUAUGGACACUGUGAGCUUACAGGCCACACUCACACCUCAUCUCCUUCUUUGUAAAUGGGGAUCAGCGCCUCAGGGGGUUAUUGAGAGGGUUAAUUAAGGUAAUGCAGGUAGUGCACUUAGUUCUGAGCUGGGCAUGUAGUUUAUACCCAACCAAUGGUUAACUUGGUUGAGUUAAUCAAGUUAACCAUUACUUUUCAUGUUCACAAAUGCUGGGACUUCGAGUGCAUCUAUAAAUCUGAGUCUGAUUGGGAGUUAUUUGUAGUGUAGUACUGGUAAUGUGAUUUAUGAGAGUGGAUCUGUGUAGUUAUUUUUGUGUAGUGGUGUGCCCAAUUCUGUUAUAUGUUGUAGGUAAAUGAUUUUGGGUCAGUGUACAUGUGUGAGUAAAUGACUGUGAGGGCAUGUCUCUACAUGACAGAGUGGAUGAGGUAUGUGGCUGUUGACACGUUGACAUAAUGUCUGCCAGCAUAUGCACACAUCUGCGAUCAUGCCAGUCCCAAACGCCCCCACUCACCCUCCCUCCCCUUGGAGACGUCAUAACCCUAGAUGUCCCUCAUUUCCUCACCCUGAGGGAACCGGAAUCCGUGGGCAGGGGUGGGGGUGGGUGCCAGUGAGGAGGUGUUUUAGACAGAGGCACAUGUUCCCUCCCAGACUGUAUAGGGAAGGGAGCCCCUAUCCUGCUCACAUCUCAAAGGCUGCAGAGGAAGUGCCCCCCAGCCUGUUCUCAGUUCCCUGUCUUGUCACCAUGGUAGCGGUUGCCAGGGGUUCCCAUGGUUGCUAAGAUCUGGGUGUGGGAGGCUGUCAGGCCCUGUUGCCAGUAGAAACAGAGAAUCCUGGGGGAAAGGAAGACUACCCCCACAGUUGCCAGCUCUCUGCAGUGACAGAACUAGCCCUUGGGCCGCUCUCUCCCCAGUUGUACCUAUGAUUUAUAUGUGGUAGUACUAGUGUGUGCGUGGGAACAGGAGCGGGGGUUUUAAUAGGAAACCACAACUAGAAUACUGGAAUACUAGAAUACUGAGGAAAAGGGGGCUCCUUGGCCUACCUGUCACCAUCCUUAAAGUUGGGAGGACCUUACAAAUUAGUGACUACCUCCGUCUCUACUAAAAUACAAAAAAAAAUUAGCCAGGCUUGGUGGCGCAUGCUUGUAAUCUCAGCUACUUGGGAGGCUGAGGCAGGAGAAUUGCUGGAACCCAGGAGAUGGAGGUUGCAGUGAGCUGAGAUUGUGCCACUGCACUCCAUCCUGGGCAACAGGCUAGAGACUCCCUCUCAAAAAAAAAAAAAAAAAAAAGAGUGACUACCUCCUUCUGUCUUCUGUUCCUCAUCUCUCUCUCCUGGGCAGUCUCCCUGCUUAUUCUUGAGUUCUCCAGUGAUUGGGUACUCAUUACCUGAUGCUUUUUCCUGGGUGUAGGAAUGCCAUGUUGAUCCAUUACCUUGGCUGCAGAUGGCCUUCCUCCUGUGAUCAGACUGAGCGUCUCACCUGAUACCUGCUUCAUGCUGACACCCAGGCUCAGACUUUGGUCCCACACUGAGUCCCAACUAUGACUUGAGCCUGAGACACAACCUGGUUAUUGUCCUGGUAGAGACAGUUCCCCAAAUCCAGCCUCUGCCUAAACCCUCCUCCUAGAUAUUGAUGAGCCCUAGUUUUGAUACAAAUACUUAAACUCAUCUUCAGAUUCAGUUAUGAUCCUAUACUGAACUAACUGAACACUACCAGGGAUCUGACUCUGAUACUCACUGGCGUCUGCUUGUGUGUUCUGAACCUAUGCUGACCAGCCCCAAAAGGGUUCAGAGUGAGUGAUUUUUUGCCUUGGGAUGAGAGAGCAAUGUUAGGGAUGACCAGCAGAGGGCGUGCAACAUCAGGUUGUAGAGGCAAGCAUCCAAGAGCCCACCUGUGAACUGAAAAAAAUUCUCGUUUUUAAUGCCAAAACUUUGGGGUUUUGUGGGUCCUUACAGUCAUGAAUCUUUUCCUUCUGGCUCACUUGGGCUCAGCGCUGGGCGUGCACAGAAUGUGCUUAACUGUUUGCUGGCAUCUCAGGUCUCAAGAGGAGUGAAGUGACCCCACCCUCAACUCAGCAUUUCUGUCACACGCUUAAUAAAGCUCCACUGCCUUCCCUGGUAACCAGUUCUGUUUGGUCCUAGAGCAGAAAUCUGCCCUCCACAGUGUUCACAUUUCAUCUUAUCUCUGUCCUUGGGACCACAUUGACCUCAUUGGCCCAUCUGCCAAACGUCACCAUCCGUGUCCUUCAAAUCUGCUUCUCUACAGGACUCAUACCUUCAUGGGUUCAUCCCUUGCAUUUUUCAAUUCUACCCACUAAGAUCAGAUCAUGUUACGCUGAAUGGGUUUCAGUUUGUGGUGCCCAGUUCUGAUGUUUUUUUUUCUGUUGUUUCUUUUUUUUUUUUUCUGAUUAGUUUUUUCCAGGAGAGCUGGUGCAGGGUACAAAUGAGCUGGCCAACCUCCCUCCUCUGACUCUGAACUUCUUUCUACAUAGGCUCAGAUUACAUCAGUUUUUUUUUUUUCUUUUGAGACAGAGUCUCACUCUGUUGCCCAGGCUGGAGUGCAAUGGCACAAUCUGGGUUCACUGCAACCUCUGCCUCCCGGGUUCAAGCGAUUCUCCUGCCUCAGCCCCCUGAGUAGCUGGGACUACAGGUGUGCACCACCGCACCUGGCUAAUUUUUGUAUUUUUAAUAGAGACGGGGUUUCACCAUGUUGGCCAGGCUGGUCUUGAAUUCCAGACUUCAGGUGAUCCACUAGCCUUGGCCUCCCAAAGUGCUGGAUUACAGGCGUGAGCCACCGCGCCCAGCCUGUUUGUUUUUUGGUAGCCACCUCAUACUGUUCACCCAUACUGAGUUAAGACCACAAGCUUGAGGCUGGGCACUGUGGCUCAUGCCUGUAAUCCCAGAACUUUGGGAGGCAGAGGUGGGUGGAUCAUGAGGUAAAGAGAUCGAGACCAUCCUGGCCAACAUGGUGAAACCCCAUCUCUACUAAAAAUACAAAAAAGUAGCUGAACAUGGUGGCACAUGCCUGUAAUCCUAGCUACUUGGGAGGCUGAGACAGGAGAAUCACUUGAACCCAAGAGGCGGAGGUUGUGGUGAGCCGAUAAUGCGCCAUUGCAUUCCAGCCUGGGCAACAAAAGCAAAACUCCAUCUAAAAAAAAAAAAAAAGACCACAAACUCUUUUCUCCCUGAGCUGUUAAAUCACCUCUUGUUUAUCUGUACUUGUUAUAAUUUUGAAUGGAGAGCUAUAUUCAUUUUAAACAAAGAUACUUGAAAUAAAAUUAAAAAAAUUGUUGACAAUACAUUCUCAAUUUUAGGGCAAUCUUUGGGCUUGGAAAUCUCUGAACUUGAUGUUUACUCAAAGGUGGGACAAGGAGGGACUGAAGGUCCUCAGUGGGCUUGGCUGUGACUUCAGCACUUUGGACAGAGCUGAUCAUAGUACCCCCAGCUAUGCCUGGGAUUGUGGGAGGGUGGAGAUUAUACACUCACAGCCUUCAGAUGGAGCAGAAAUCCUUGCUUCUCACUCAGUGUCUUACAGUCUAUAAAGCUCUAUCCUCUUACAAAACUCCUCAAUUACCAGCCCAGGAAGCUGACAGGAUAGGGGCUGUUCUACAAAUUUUACAGUUGAGGAAACUGAGUUUCAGCAAAGUCAACCUCCAGGCAACCCUUAGAAAGGAUGAAGUAGUGGGAUAGAAAGCACUACUCCAUGUUUAGCAAAUUUAGUAGCCAUUGCUUCUCUUAAGGAAUGACUCUCCCCAGGGAUCAAGAGGAAAUGCAUUUCAGCCAGAGCAGGACCAGGUGGAUGUAGGUUUGUAUAAAAUCGAGGCCCCAGCCAGUUGGUGGGAGGAACAGUCCUCAGAGUGUCUAAAGUUCCAGCCAGGACUGCUGAACUGAGGGCAGGGAAACAUUCAUUAGGGCCCACAGACAUCUAGCCUUUAUGACUCUUUUUCUGUCCCAAUGCUUAGCUUCACUGAGCCUGGAGACAAGGACAAGGGGCUGGGAUAACAUUAAGUUGCUCUCAGUCUGAUGGACCCCAUGUGAAAACUCAGGGAGGAGAGGUGUGGGAGCUUGGUGAGUGGACGGGGUGAAUUGUGCAGUGGUAAGAAAUCUGUGCCAUGGCUACAGGCCGGUUACCUGUCUAUGUCUAUUCCCAAGGUGGUGAGGGAGGUGCUGGUCCACAUAGCAGUGGUUCCUUUGAAGUGUGCUUUGACAGGAAGCACAACAAAGUGGCUAAGAACAUGUCCUCUGAAGGCAAACUGCCUGGUUCCCCCACUUCCUGUGUGGUUGUAUAACCUUGAAAAACAUGGGCUCUCUGUUCAUCUUUCUCACCUGUAAUGAAAAUCUCAUAGGGUUAUUGUGAAGAUUAAUGAUUCUAUGCAAAGUACUGCCAAGUGCAUAGUACGUGCUCAAAAAAAUGUUAGAAACUACUUGUACUUGGGAUCCUCUAUGGUUCUGGAGGUAGAAUAUCAGCUUCUGAUCCACAGCCUAGAGAUGCUUUCUCACCUACAGGUGUUGGCUCUCUUCUGACCAGAUAAAAGGGAUGAAGGGGAUCCCAUAGUCCUCUGAGUGCAUCUCCAAUCUUAGUUUUCCCAACCCUAUGAUAUUACAUUAAAGCAAUUUGUCAAAAUGGGGAGGAAACACUCAGACCAGAAUAAAACAGCCAAUGAGUUAUCCUUACUUUUAGCUCAGGAGGAACUGGGAAGUGUCUAAAACUGGCCCUGGGGCCUGGCAUGGGGGAGAGAUAACACAUAGCAGACAGCCUUGGAGACCUUAUGACCUCAUCCUCAAUUUCUCUGAAAGCUCUGGCUCCCUGCUUCAGUGUUUUAUCUGUGCUGGAUACAGAAAUAUCAAUAUCUCUGUAUUAGUAUGUGUGGUGCCCCUACCGGCACCCAUCUCUUGAUUCUUGGGAAGGUCACGGCCAGGAGAGCUCUAGAAAGAGUCACAGCAUGUUGUAUCCUUUCUGGCGGCCGCGCUGCACCUUUCUUAUACUCAGACCCAGGAAUUGGUCAAUGAUGGGAAACCACACAGAAAUGGCAGGUUCCCCAAACAACAAGAAACAGGAAGCUGAUAGAGCAUCACAAUCGCUUUAUUAUAAUUUCUACUGUGCCCAGCCUCAGGGCAUCAGCUCCUUCUGGAGUGCUGUGAAGGCUGGGUCGCACAGAGGAGCAUGCAGCUAUAGAGAUGGGGAGACAGGGCUUGGGGACGUUCCCCUCAGCUGACUGUCAAGUUACCUUCUUCAGAAAAGCACAUGGGAAGGGCAUGAAGGACCAGAGCACAUUGGAUUUCCCAGUGUUACUCAAGUGUUCUCAGAGUCCCUCUCACAAGCUUGGGUUUGGCUGGGAUACAGAUCACAGGCCAAUCCUUGAUGGCAGGAGGCUAAUCUUGAAGGCCUUUGUGUCACCAUGGCUAUGGAAAUGCCUGGCUACUUAUAACUUGAUAUUCUCAACUGUGGUCAUGCCUACCCAGUGCUAUAGAAACUGGAAGGUGACUGAGCUUCUUAGUCACUGGCCCAGACCAGAGCUGAGCCCCUUUCCAUGGGCCAUUGGGGCAGGUGGCCCAGAGGGAAAAAGCUUUUCCUUAGUGCUAGUAGAAAUUCUGUAAUCUGUUUAUUUUCUGUUCAAGGUUGCCAAAAAUAGUGGCAGCAGAAAAGCAACAGCAGAGAAAAUGCCCAGUCCCACCCCAUGCCAGGGCUGAGCCGUCAGGAACAGGCACGAUGCAUGAAUAUCCCCCACUCCAGGAGAUCUUGCCAUUGUCUGGGUUGCAGCCAGGGGCCCAGAGAGAUAUCCUGGGCAAAUUCAAACUAAGUGGUAGGAGAAAGUAGCAAUUUUUCAGAUAAGAGCAUGAAAUAAGGAAAAAAAAAAAGUAAAUAAAAAAGAAAAUAGGAAUUUUAUUUCACUGUAAAUAGAGGAGGUCUAAAAAGGGACUGUGGUGACAGGUGCUGCCAGGAUGUCCCGAAGUUCUGGCAUCAGAACUUUUCUGCCUUUUAGGGUCAUGUGUCUAUCUGUCUUCACUCUGACGGUCUGAAGGGAACAUGCUUGCAGGAUCACUGGAGCCAGCUACCAGUUCUCAGUCCUGCCUGAAGUUUCUCUUGGCUUUGGGGUGGCCCUGCCAGGCAGCUUCUGCUGAUCUUCCCUCUUGGCUUUUGGGCUUCCUGGCACCACUCUGACUGAAGCUGUGAAAGCUGCAAUGGUUGAGGUUGUGUUUUAGGCUAUGAGUCCUGGGUACAACCCUGGGGCUCACUCUCUAGUGAGGUGCCCUCUUCCCAGGCAGUUUAAUUCUGUCCUUUUCAUAAUGGUGACAGAAAUAAGGGGAUCCUAAGAAUUGGCCACUUAAGCAAGGUCAGAGUGACAUCCCAUAGGGAGCAGUAGAGCCAGAAAGGCUGGUAUCUGCCCUGCUAGCCCCAGGUGCUUGCACUGAGGGCAGAAAGAGGCAAUGUCCUCAUGGUUUCUACUGUGGCUGUCCUCAAAUGAAGAGGGGCACUUGAGGGUUAGAUCAGUACCUAUGAGUGAGGGGACUGCUCCAUCCCUGGGACACCCUAGGGGCCCUUGCUCAAGUGUUCUGUUGGGGAAGGCUGGGCUCAGGAGAGGAAGCCAAGGGGCAGACUUGGAGAGGUCUCGUGGCCAGGGCCACUGCCUCAGGUGACCCUUGGACCCCACAGCUCCACCGCAUCAUCCAGCUGCCUCUUCAUUCACAGCUGAACAUGGGGAAGAGGAAUGCCAGGUGAAAAAUGCUUAGGGAAAGUGGCCUUCAGAGGAGCCUAUCAGAAGUGGCCUACAGAGGCCUGUAACCCAGGCCUUCCUUGGUUGGAAACACUGAUCGUAAAUUUGGGUAGCCAAGAAGAAAAGACUGAAAUAUUUUCUCAUACCCUUAUUGGAGCCUGAUGCUAAUAUUUGGACUUGACAGAAUUUCAGAGAGUCACAGUGAUGGGAGAGCUUGGAAAGGAAAGGAAAUGGGCUUCACUAGGUUUCUGAACGUUUUUAACAUCUCUAUACAUAUCACAGAGAGGCUCUGGCAAUUAGGACAUGGCAAAGGGAGACUCUGGACAGGAGGCUGGGGCGGGGCUUCUGCAACUCUGGACUUGGGGAGCAAUGGCACUUCCCCUUUGGUAAAAAGCUAGAUGCCUGUGGAGAAGAUGCCAGCUGCUCCUUUGUGCUUUUCUGCUUCCUAGGACUCUUGUGGGCUGGGAAAUCUAUUCUUUGCUGGGGAAGUGCCCCAUGGAUCUCUGUUACAGGCCCUCACCCAGGAAGACUGCUGUUCUGGAACAGGAGAAGGGUGAUCCCAAAUGGGCCUGCACCUGUUGUGGAAGAACUCUGGGGGUGCUUUGCCAGGCCCUGGAAUAUGGCAGGCCUGACCUGGCCCACCAACUCUCCUCACUCACCAGCGGAGAGCUAGAGGCAGCAGCUCCAAAGAGUCCCAAAUAAUCCAACCCCAGCAGCUCACCAUCCUGCUUCCAGCUCAGGCAGUUCCUACAGGAGGAGACUACACAGGGCUCUCACCAAGCUCCUGGCUGCAACUCCCUGCUUUCCUCGAAACAUUCAGCACUGAGCGGUGUGUGCUUUCUUCCGUAUGCACCGGAUUUAGCACAAGGGCCUCGAGCAAUAAAGAUGUGUUUGCUUCUGCA